GUUUUGACGACACACUUGCCAAUUUUUGUCAUCAAGAAAACAUCGAACUGCGUACCGGUUCCAGAAAGUGGACAUAAAGAAGGAAUGUCCUGACAUGCCACAAGUUCUCCUUAAAUCAUGAUGAACACAUAGGAGAUGCAUGCAAGCUACUUAAAACCUUAAUGGCAUAAUGGAACAGUGAUGAAUGUUGAGGCAACCAUCAACAAACAAAUCGUCUUCAGCUAGCCAACCAAACACAGACAAGCGCAUAAAUUCAGUGCGGUCUGAGAGUGGGAGCUGUAGUAGGAUCCGCAUACAUGUAAAGAAGGGCUUGAAUUGAAUGGGAUGUGGUGUAGACGUGAAUUGGACAAUCCUAGAAAGGUGCUUACAUCAUAUUGAGAGAUUUAAAUAAAAGAAGGGAUAUUUGCUUUUCUGUAGAAGAUCACAGCCCUACGCUUUCUCAUUUCUGAUGCCUGUGUGGUUUGCUGGAGAAAGGAAAAUAGUUGCAGAGCUAGCAAUGUAAUAUUUGGUAGAGACCAUUGGAGGGAACGUUGCCCUGACC